GUGUCAGCCGCCGCGGUAAGACAGAGGUGCCAAGCGUUAGGCGGAAUCACUGGGCUUAAAGCGUGUGUAGGUGGAUCGUUAAGUGCCUUGUGAAAUCCCACGGCUCAACCGUGGAAUGGCUGGGCAUACUGGCGGUCUUGAGCCAUUCAGGGGCUACUGGAACAAACGGUGGAGCGGUGAAAUGCGUAGAUAUCGUUUGGAACGCCAAAGGUGAAAACAGGUAGCUGGGGAUGUGCUGACACUGAGACACGAAAGCCAGGGGAGCAAACGGGAUUAGAUACCCUGGUAGUCC
rnacentral:rRNA from 1 species